GUUUGAAUAGUUUAAUUAGAAUAGUAAUUUGUGGUGUUACAGGUAUAUUUUAUAUUUCAAACC
rnacentral:tRNA from 1 species